CAAUUAGUUAUACUUUAUACUUAUUACAAUAUUACGUAUAAAUAUUAUAAAUUAAUAAAUCCACUGGUUAUUGUUCAAAAUGCCAUCAGGCCAGUAGCGCAUUUAGGAAGGGACAAAGGGACGAAUGACCCCAGUGGCAAAAUUUUAACAGAUUUAGGGGCGGCAGUUUUGUUGAGUAUAUUCAUUUUUGUUUUUUUCACAAAAUGUAUAACACUUAAUCAUUGAUUAAGUUAUCAGUUAGCAUGCUGGAACACAGAUUAAAUUCUUUGCUAUGUAGUCUUUAUUUUUUAACCUCUAUUAUAAGCCCAGGAAAAGUUGAGUUAUACCCC